GGCGGGGGGGGGGCGGGGGAGGCCGCGCCGAUGCCGCCCCCCUCGGCCCCCGUGUAAACAUGCCCGCUCCGGCCGCCGGCCCCCCCCGCGCCCCGCCGCGCCGGUGGUGCGCUCCACAUGCGCGGCUCCCCCGCGGGAGGCAGGCAGGUGCGUGGCAGCAGGGUGUCCCCUGCCUCCGCGGGUGCAGCACCCACGCUCUCCGUCACACAGGCGGCUCCUGGGCGGCGAUGGCCGGUGAAGGGCAGGGGGCCGGCGGCAGAGGAAGAGGAGGCGCUCAGCGUGCAGCAGGUGCCGAGGCGACUCUCGCCGCAACAAAUCCCUGUGAUUCAGCCUCAGAGCAUCUGCCGCUGCCGGGGACCGAGUGUUAACAAACGGCCGAGGGGGUUGAUGUCACGCAGCCUCCUCUGCCAAGGCGUCCCGGAGCCCCCGGGAGCUGGAGCUGCCCUGCGUGGGGGUACAUCCGUGGCCGGGAUGGAUGGUGGUCCUCAGCUGCGCUUCGCCUGGGAGACCCCCAAAAGUGCCAUCCCGCCGGAAUCUCGCUGGGUCUCUGGUGCUGGUGACAACGCGGGGCUGCGAAGUGUCUCUUUGGCCCCGGCUUCCCUGUGCAACGCCGAAUUGAAGAGCGCUGGGGCUGCUGUUCCGCAGCGUCUCAGCUACUUUAUGGAUUCGCUCCCGUGUGCCGCUUAAAAAGAAGUCAAGAACGGCCUCCCCACUUCUCCCCACUCCUCUCCUUGCUCCUGGUGAGCCAUCGCACGGAGCAGCAGCGUGGAGAUGCUCUGAACCUGAACCGCCUCCCACCGUGCCGUGUGUUUGCAUGUGGGUGGUUCAAGUCCCUUCCUGUCGUCCGCCGUUAUCGCACUUUUGCCGGAGUCUCGUGCCAUUUUGAUCUCUCUCAUCAAAGCGGCGAGCCUGCCACUUCUCCGCAGCCGUCUGGGCGGGGAGAUAGAGCCUUGCGGGGAUGUGAUCGUGUCUAGGUGUUUGACUGCUUCUCUUUGUGGCUUGCUCCAGCUGUCCUGCAGAGCUUGCCACCAGAUGUUUCGGUAUUUCUUUGACUUCCGUAACUCCUUUUUCUAUCAAGAUCAAGGUCCAGGCAAUUCACCUACGUUUGCUUACUGCCUGGGUGUUUGUAAUGCUUGUUCCAGACCAGGGCAGGCUUUUAUCGAACUCGUUAACCUGCAACCAAGCCGAUUUUACAGAAAUAUUCUCUACAGAAAUAUCUCGUCCUUGAUUCUGUUGAGGCUUUGGUAGUUACUCCCCAGCCACGUUGCUGUGAGUCGGAUCACAGCUCGGCUGGGUGUCAGGAGCCAGAACCCCACGGCCGCGCUUGGGGAUUCCUCCCAGAACUGGAAUUUUGCUACAUCUAGGAACUAUCUCAUUCGAACCCAUUCUCAUCAAAGCAGGAUUUAUUCCUGGCUGACCGCAGCCAGCCCAGAGCAGCAGAGAGGACAGGAGAGGACACCAAACCCCAAACGCGGCAGGGUUGUAUGACGCGGGUGAAAAAUUACCCUCCUGAAAUGACGCCCAUCGCAGCACGCGGUGCGUGUACUCGCGAGCACCGUAUGCAGAGCCUGACCCCGCCAGAGCGAUCCCAGGGCUGCUGUAACGCUGUCACCUCUGACGCUGCGCGGCGGUAACAUCUCACGGCGGGUGCGAACCGCGCUGACACCGCGGCUUGCGUUCCAGCCCGGGGGGGAAACCGGCCGCGGCGAUGUCGACAGUCGGCUCCCGGCACCUCGCGCAGGGCAGGUCAGUGUGAAAAGUUUCCCGAACCCCCCAGGGAGGGAUUUUCACCAGGUUGAGGGAGGAAAAAAGCUUUGGAUUAAGCGCAUCCAGUGCACCCGCGGGGAAGCACAAAUGCCUCCAGGCACUCCCUUUCUUAUUUGUUUAUCCGAGCCUUGCCUUUACUCACCGUUGGGGUUUUUUUAGGGGAGCGUAGCUGUGCGCAGAGGGAACAGUUCUUUGGAAAACGUGAGAUGCUCACAACUAAUUAUUCGGCCUUCACCACCAGGUAUUCUUAGAUUGAGUCCAAAAUGAUCCAAAUCGCUAAGGAAUGCACUGUGCUUUGCUGGGCAUACAGCGGAGCGCCCGCAGGUGCUUGGAAAACUGCUUUUUUUGUCCUCUCUUUCACCGUUUCGCUCUCAAGGGACUCCCCAGCUUGGUGCUUCGCGCUUUGCUGAAGCUGUCCCAGAGCGCUCAGAGUGGUGGUUUUUAACAGUUUCCACCAAUAAAAGCAGCUCCCUUUUCUCCUGCUUGCAUUUUUUUCUUUUUUUUUUUUUCCCUGCCUGCGCUCUUCUGCUUUCUCCUGGCGGCGGCCGCUCUCUGGGUACGUGGUGUGGUCUCGCCGGUGAAAACCUUUGGAGCAGGACGUGCUGCCUGGGCUGGUGGGAGGUGUCCCUGCCCGGGGCAGGGGAUUGGAACUGGAUGAUCUUUAAGGUCCCUUCCAACCCGAACCAUUCUGGGAUUCUAUGACCCCUGAAUCGCCGCUGCUGCUUGUGAGGACCAACGUCCCCAGCAGGGCCUGAAAGACGUGCCUGGCGCAAGCAGCAGAGAGACGCAGGGGUGUAAACCUGAACGGCUCCAGGGAGCGGUGGGUGAAAAGCUGGACGUGAGCCGGCAACGCGCGCUCGCAGCCCAGAGGCCAGUUGUAUCCUGGGCUGCAUCAAAAGAAGCGUGGGCAGCAGAUCCAGAGAGGGGAUUCUGCCCCUCUGCUCCGCUCGGUGAGACCCCACCUGGAGCCCUGCGUCCAGCCCUGGAGCCCUCAGCACAAGAAGGACACGGAGUUGUCGGAACGGGGCCGGAGGAGGCCAUGGAGAUGCUGGGAGGGCUGGAGCCCCUCUGCUGUGGGGACAGGCUGAGAGAGCUGGGGGGGUUCAGCCUGGAGAAGAGAAGGCUCCGGGGAGACCUUGGAGCCCCUUCCAGGCCCUCAAGGGGCUCCAGGAAAGCUGGGGAGGGGCUGUUUGCAAGGGCACGGAGCGACAGGACGAGGGGCAAUGGCUUUAAACUAGAGCGGGGCAGGUUUAGAUCAGCCAUGAGGAAGAAGUUCUUUCCACUGAGGGUGGUGGGACACUGGCCUCAUCCCUGGAGACAUCCAAGGCCAGGCUGGAUGAGGCUCUGAGCAACCUCAUCUAGUUGACGAUGUCCCUACUCACUGCAGGGGGUCGGACUGGGUGGCCUUUGGAGGUCCCUUCCAACCCCACACGUUCUAUGAGUGCUGUCACCAGGGGCCAUUCGAAGGGAUUUCUUCCAUUUCUUUAAAUUUUAGGGGCUGGAGAAACACAGCAAAGAGGCAUCAUUCUCCUCACCGGCGCAGCUCAGCUGACGCAGGCCAGGAGACUGUUGCGUUUUACAUACAGUGUUUUUUUCUGAAUCAAACUGUGCACUCAUCAGAAAAGGGACCUCGCCGUUUGAUGUGUGUUGGAAAGUGCCACGUACGUUUAUUGUGCUGUAUAAAUAAAACAUAAUAAUGCUGAGACUUGAGGACUCCCCUGGAGUCAUUCAGAAGGGAGGCAGAGGGCCAGUGAAUGAAUUUG